AAAAACAAAAAACAAUUGAAUUUACAUUUCUCUAAUUAUCAGCAGCAGAAAUGAAAGAAUAUCUAUUCUCUCCUUUGUGAAUAGGAUGUGAACUCUUCUGAGAUCACACAAACGGGUUUCGAUGCUCUGAGAGUCACACAGGCUGGGUGUAGGCAUACUUGGGAUAACAGACUGGGAUGUGAACCCCAUGAGUCACACAGACUGCAGUUUGGAAAUGCUGGGGUCAGACAGACUAGGUAUAGAUACUCAUAUCGACUGUGAUAUGAACACUUCUGGGGUCACACAGACAGGAAUUUGGACACUUAUGGGUCACACAGAUUGGAGUGUGAACUUACGGGUUCAGGGACCAGGAUGCCAACAAUCCUCAGGCCACAGAGACUAGAAUGUGGACACUCCUGGCCACAUACAUACUGGGACAUGACUACUUCUGGUGUCACACAGAGCAGGGUGCAGAAACUCCUGGGGUCACACAGUGUCAGGUAUAGAUCACAGGAGUGUCCAUACGCCAGUCUGUGACUCCACUAGAACUCACAUUUAUUUCUGUGAACACUUAUGUCCACACUGCAGUCUCUCACCCCAUUAUAUCCUGACUGCAGUCUGCAUUUCCUUAAUAGUGACCACUCUGAAGUCCUUAUAAGUCCAGUAAUUUAAUCUUCUAUAUUUGAGUUCAGAUCUGAAGGCCACUAAUGCUGAAGUAUUUGCCAUAAGCCCAGGUUUAAAGUGUAACCGAAGAGGCAUGGAUAUAGAGACACUUAACAAUUGUCCAGUUGGGUGCAGUGGCUCACGCCUGUAAUCCCAGCACUUUGGGAGGCUGAGGCGGGCAGAUCACCUCAGGUCAGGAGUACCAGACUAGCCUGGCCAACAUGGUGAAACCCUGUCUCUACUAAAAAUACAAAAAAGUAGCUAGGCCUGGUGGCGCUCACCUGUAGUCCCAGCUACUUGGGAGGCUGAGGCAGGAGAAUCACUUGAGCCUCAGAGGCGGAGGUUGCAGUGACCUGAGAUCACGCCGCUGCACUCCAGCCUGGGCGACAGAGCAAGACUCCGUCACACACACACAAAAAUAAAUAAACUCUGUCUCAAAAACAAAACAAUGGUCCAAGUUCAAGGUCAGAAAAUAGGGCAUGGGUGAUGGACUAGUUAACACAUGCCAGGGUCAGUGCUUUAAAACAGGAAGGUAUCAGCCGGGCGUGAUAGCACACCCCUGUAAUCCCAGCGCUUUGGGAGGCUGAGGCAGGCGGAUCACUUGAGGUCAGGAGUUCGAGAUCAGCCUGGCCAACAUGGCGAAACCCUGUCUCUACUGAAAAUACAAAAGUUAGCUGGGCAUGGUGGCGCAUGCCUGUAAUACCAGCUACUCGGGAGGCGGAGGCAGGAGAAUCACUUGAACCCAGGAAGCAGAGGUUGCAGUGAGCUGAGAUCGUGCCACUGCACUCCAGCCUGGGCAACACAGCGAGACUAUCUCAAAAAAAAAAAAAAAAAAAGCCACACGUGGUGGCAUGCACCUGUAAUCCCAGCUACUCAGAAGGCUGAGGCAGGAAAAUCGCUUGAACCUGGGAGGCAGAGGUUGCAGUGAACCAAGAUCGUGCCACUGCACUCCAGCCUGGGUGACAAGAGCAAGACUCUGUCUCAAUAAAAAUAAAAAAAUCAAACGGGAAGGUAUUGAUGGUAAACUCACUAACCAAAGUCCUUGUUUAAGGGGGCAUUAACAAUGGUAGUUUUAUCAGAGGCCUGUGUGGAAGGCAACACUACCAGAGAGGAAUUUAUAGUGGAAGAAUGAACAGACACCAUCGUUUAAAGUCAGACACGGACAUUGAUGUUAGGAGAGUUAAUACACAGAGUUCAAUAAUAGACAAGAAAAGCACUGAUGAUAGAAUAAAGACACCCAGAUUUGAGGUCAAGUAAGAGGGGCAAGGAGUUUUAAUUAGUUCUGCUUUAAUUAUUCUGUUAAAUAUAUAGACAAAGAGGUGGGAUUUGAUAUUGGGAUAGUUAGAAAAUGCUUGAACUCAGACUAGAGGAACAUUCCAGGCGUAAUAGUUAACACAGACCUUGGUUUAGGAUCAAACCAGAGAAAAAGGGAUGAGGACAAUCAAAUGAAUAUCUAGGUUUGAGGUCAGUUCAGAGUGGACUCGAGUCUAGAAUACUUAACAGAGCCUGGAGUUUGAGUUCACACUCUAGGGGCACUGGUGUUGGAAGAGAUAACUGUACAAGUUCAAUGACAGAUCCACAGGACACUGGCGAUGGAGCAGUUAUCAGAGGAUCAGAUUCAAGGUCAAACCAGAUGGGAGUUGGUGGUGUAUUUAACAGAAGACUGGUUUGAGAAGGCUUGGAGUGGAAGGAUUUGGGGAUAGUUAAAUGGCUGUGUUGGCUAACUAGACUAGUAGAUCUUUAAAUAUGAAAUAGGAAAUGUAAGUCCUGGUUAAGAAUCAGACAGACUAGAGAGCAAGGAUAGUGGAAGAGCUCUGAUUAGGGACCAGGAUGAUAUUGAAUAUGGAAUGACUAGAAAAGAGAACCCAGUGGCCAGGCGCGAUGGCUCACGCCUGUAAUCCCAGCACUUUGGGAGGCCGAGGAGGGCAGAGCACGAGGUCAAGAGAUUGAGACCAUCCUGGCCAACAUGGUGAAACCCUGUCUCUACUAAAAGUACAAAAAUUAGCCGGGCGUGGUGGCAUGCGCCUGUAGUCCCAGCUACUUGGGAGGCUGAGGCAGGAGAAUUGCUUGAACCUGGGAGGCGGAGGCUGCAGUGAGCCGAGAUCAUGCCACUGCACUCCAGCCCUGGCAACAGAGCGAGACUCCGUCUGAAAAAAAAAAAAAAAGAAAAGAAAAGAGAACCCAGAUUUUGAGAACAAACCAGAAGAACAUUGAUGCUUAACAGUAGACCAGAUUUGAGAUCAGACCAAUUGACGGUGUGAGUUAAAAUGGCCUACAUUCAAAGUCAGAUCAGAGGAGACUGAAGGUUGAAUAGUUAAAAAGAAGACCAGGCAUUACCCAUGUGGCAUUGUUGGAUGAAAACUGAACCGAGGUCCAGGUUUGAUUCGAGACCAGAAGGACCUUUAAGCUAGAAUAUCAAAUGAAGGUCAGCCGGGCGUGGUGGCUCAUGCCUGUAAUUCCAGCACUUUAGGAGGCCGAGGCAGGAGGAUCACUUGAGGUCAGGAGUUUGAGACCAGCCUGGCCAACAUGGUGAAACCCCAUCUCUACUAAAAAUACAAAAAUUAGCCGGGCUUGGCGGCGGGCACCUGUAAUCCUGGCUACUCGGGAGGCUGAGGCAGGAGAAUCACUUGAACCCAGGAGCAAGAGGUUGCAGUGAGCCAAGAUCGUGCCACUGCACUCCAGCCUGGGCAACAGAGUGAGACUCUGUCUUAAUAAAUAAAUAAAUAAAUAAAUAAAGUGCCUGGGUUUGAGGUCAUAGGUACUGGUGAAAGAAACAUUAAGAGAUGCCCAGGGCCGGGCACAGUGGCUCACAGAGGCUCUUGAUGGUAAAGUAGUUGACAAACACACAGGUUCAAAGUCAGACAAAGGGCAGGGAACAGUUAAUCGAAGCCUCGAUUUGAGGCAAGACCAGAGUGGAAUUGAUAGUGGAAUGAUUGACAGAGCUUCAGAUCUGAUGUGAAACCAGUGAUGCUGAACAAGUUAACCGAGGCCCAAAUGUGACUGAUAACACUAUUUUUAUUCUUUCUUCAUUAUUUAUUCCCCCUUAGGUGGUGAGUCAAGAAAAGUGCCACCAAGAUGAGUUUAAAGUAGAAUGUCAAAUCUGCCACCUCAAAAUUUCACAAGGAGGAAACCCCCAAAAUCAUGCACAACAAUAUUCACAAUCAAUCAUCUUGAAUCCAGACUCAAUAGACAAUGUGAAGAGUGUAAACAAAAGAAGAAAGUGUUAGCGAAAAAGGAGGUUCCUCAAAAUUAUCCUGCCAUCCACAGACCUUGGUAGAAACUGGGCAUCUGUGUGGUGUUGCACACUGUGCAGAAAAACAGUAACAGAGCAGGCCUCAACUGCGAUCCUUGGAAAGGCCUGCUUCAAGGUUGGCCCUUGGGUGGUGUCUAAGAACAUAGACUCCAGGAGGGUUCCCACCAUUCCCUAAGAGAUAAGAAUGGCUCACUCGGGCCGGGUGUGGUGGCUCACACCUGUAACGCCAGCACUUUGGUAGGCCAAGGUGAGAGGAUCACUUGAGCCCAGGAGUUCAAGGCCAGCCUGGGCAACAUGGCAAAACCCAUCUCUGCAAAAAUCAGCUGGGGUCAUGGUGGUGCAUGUCUGUGGUCCCAGCUACUUUGGAGGAUGAGGCAGCAGGACCGCUUGAGCCUGGGAGGUUGAGGCUGCAGCGAACCAUGUUUGAGCCACUGCACUCCAGCCUGGGCAACAAAGUGAGACCCUGUCUCAAAAAAAAAAAAAAAGAAAGAAAGAAAAAAAAGAAUGGCUUACUCUACCUAAGCUGUUUGUAUAAAAAAGUGGGCCAGGAGCGGUGGCUCAUGCCUGUAAUCCCAGCACUUUGGGAGGUCGAGGCAGGCGGAUCACAAGGUCAAGAGAUGGAGACCAGCCUGGCCAAUAUGGUGAAACCCCGUCUCUACUAAAAAUACAAAAAUUAGCUGGGCGUGGUGGUGGCAGGCGCCUGUAGUCCCAGCUAUUCAGGAAGCUGAGGCAGGAGAAUUGCUUGAACCCAGGAGGCGGAGGUUACAGUAAGCCGAGAUCACGCCACUGCACUCCAGCCUGGCGACAAAGCGAGACUCCGUCUCAAUUAAAAAAAAAAAAAAAAAGGUGGUUUAUGCUGAGCCCCUGCUUUCCUUUUGGGAGCCUGGGAUUUGGGUAGGUGCCAGGCAGGGGGUGCCUAUGUGACCAUGCCCCAAUAAAAACUUGAUACCAGCCAGGUGCUCACGCCUGUAAUCCCAGCAGUUUGGGAGGCUGAGGUGGGAGGAUCACUUGAGGUCAGGAGUUCAAGAUCAGCCUGGCCAACAUGGUGAAACCCCAUCCCUACUAAAAAUACAAAAAUUAGCCGAGCUUGCUGGUGCGCGCCUGUAGUUCCAGCUAUUCGGGAAGCUGAGGCCCGAGGAUCGCUUGAACCCAGGAGGUGGAGGCUGCAGUGAGCCAAGAUCAUGCCACUGCAUUCCAGCCUGGGCGUCAGAGCAAGACCCCCCCCCCCCCGCCAAAAAAAAACCAAAACAACAACAACAACAAAAAAAACCUCUGGGUGCUGAGUCUCUAAUUGAGCUUCCUUGGUCAGCAACAUUUCGCAUGUAUUGUCACAACCCAUUACUGUGAACCGAGCACAUCUUGUGUGACUCCAAUGAGAGAGAAGCCCUGGAAACUUGUGCCUGGGUCUCUCUGGGAGUUGGUCCUGCACACCAUUUCUUUUUGCUGAUUUUGCUCCAUAUCUUUUUGUUGUAAUAAGUCAAUCGUAGCCAUGAAUACAACCACAUACUGAGUCUUGGGAGUCCUCCUAGCAAAUCACUGGGCUUGGGGCUGGUAUUGAGGACCAUGACACACACACACAUACAUGACCUUUACCAUGGGAACAAUCCAGCUCACUGAUGUCCCUAUCUCACCACCAUGUACCCUGAGGUCUAUUAGAUGGAAGUGCCAGUUAGAAAUGCUUGGGGUGCAAGUAACCACACUGUCAAAUAACUGGACUGAACAAACGGGAGAUUAUUUCCCUCCAACAAGACUGUUGGUGCGAGUUCAGCAGCUCAGCAAUGCUGGGCCAAGCUGGAGUCUCUACCACGCUGUGGACUGACCCUAAGGUCCCAAGAUGUCAGUCGCAGUUCCAGUCAACGCAUAUGUGGCAACAAAUGGAGCUGAGAAGGAAGGGAGGGGCCGGAGCAAGAGCCUCUUUGCUGCUUCAGGUAACUUUGACAUUUUCUGGUGACGCAGGCCACUGAUAAGUGAUUUUGGUUAUUUACCCCCAUCAAUACUCAAAGCUUUUUCUCCUCUCUUGGGGCUCCCCUCAAAUACUUAACAUCACUUUUUGGUCUCUGAGCUGUUCCAGGGCUGGAAUUUGUACCCUGGAUGGGGCUGGGAGGAGACAGGGGUGGUCUGAGGGAUGGAGAUUCCGCCACACAGCAGGAGGCCCCAGGUCAGCCUUAACUUCCCGUUGCUCCUGCACCAGCUUGGGGCUCCAGGACUCAACACCUCUGCUCCCUGCUUUUAAUAAACAACACAAUGCACAGAAGGGUUGGGAAUAUCGCCCCCUGAGGAGGCAGCAGAGUCCUGCAGCCUAACAUAGUGAACCCCCUGGGGGUCCGACCCAACAUUCCCCCGCCAACUCCUCCACUGUCACUACCCUGGUGCAAGUCCCCAUCACUGCGCUCAGAGGGGUCUCCUGCUGGGUCCCCUGCUUCUACCCCCACCCCCAAUCUGUCCCCUUCAGCAGCCAGAGGGAGCCUCUAUGACCAAGUCAGAUCAUGUUCCUCCUCUGCUUGACACCUUCUGGUCACCCCCACUCAGAAAAAAAGCCAAAGUCCUAACUGUGGCCCAUGAAGCAUCUGGCCUGUCUGACCUCAUGUACUGUCACACUCUGGUCCAGCAAGACUCUGGCAUACACAAUGAUCCUUCUGGAGCGCUCCAGCCUCAGUGCCUUUAGGCUGGCUUUCUCUCUGCCUGGAAUGUUCUCCCCCUACACUAUGACUCCCACUCACUUCAUUCAGGUCUUUAAAUGUCACCCUGAGCCAGGCGUGGUGGUUCAUGCCUGUAAUCCCAGCACUUUGGGAGGCUGAGGCGAGUGGAUCGCUUGAGCCCAGGAGUUCAAGACCAGCCUGAGCAACAUGGCGAGACCCCGUCUCUACUAAAAAUACAAAAAUUACCCGAGUGUGGUGGCACACACCUGUAGUCCCAGCUACUUGGGAGGCUUAAGUGAGGAUCACUUGAGCCCUGGAGGUUGAGGCUGCAGUGAGCUAUGGUCAUGCCACUGCAUUCCAACCUGGGUGACAGAGUGAGACCCUGUCUCAAAAACAAAAAAGUCACCCUGUCAGGAUCAUCUUCCCUGAUGCUGUCACCAUAAAGAGCCCACUCCCCCAACUUCUGCAGCUCUGUCUCCCAUCCUUGCUUUAUUUUCUUCAUACCACUCAUCAUUAGCUGGCCUGUUCCAUGUUUUUAUCUACUGUCUCCGCUAUGAUGCAAGCCCAAUGAAGGCAGGCAUUUCCAUCAGUUUAGGUCAGAGCAGUAUCCCCAGUGCCUAGAACAGUUCCUGGCACACGGUCAGGGCUCACUAAUGUCUAUCGAAUGCAUAAGUGUGUAAAACAGUUAAGGCAGGGCCUGUAACCCAGCAGACAUUCAAUCAAUGCUUGUGGAAUGAAUGAAUCCGUCGAUGCAUGAAUGCACAAAUGAGUCAAUGAACCCCGUUCCACCGUGUUCCUGGAGCUGCCCGCUGCCCUCUGCCCUGUCCGUCCCCGGCAGAGCUGGGAGCCGGCC
rnacentral:lncRNA from 10 species